rnacentral:tmRNA from 1 species
GGGGAUGACUGGAUUUGACGGCAAGAUGAGAUGGUACGUAAGCACGCGGAGGCUCGUUGGCUACCUCCUAAAUCUGAGUGAACAGAAAAUUAAUUGGCAACAAUAAGUAUGCUCUCGCUGCUUAAUCGAAGCACAGUAGAUUACGAGCUUAAUUCUCUUACCAGGUAGGAGAACGAGACAUCGCUCCGAGGAUGUUGUUCCGAAUCCAGAGAUCAAGCGGUGCAGGUUAAAUCGGAAAUAGUCUUUGCAGGCCUCGAUGCAGGGAUGAAGUUUUUGAGGAUAAGGUGCUGCUUGGUGGUCCAGGUCUUGGCAGCACUCGAAAAUGAAGACUGGAAUAAGCGUGUAGAAAGCGUAUGGUUUCCUUGUGCGGACGAGGGUUCGAACCCCUCCAUCUCCACUG